AUGUUGCUGGGCAGGGUGGGGGAGGGAAGGGGGGGCAUGUGUGGGGGCGGGGAGAGAUGUGCGUUGGGGGCCGGGAGAGGCGUGUGUGGGGGACCUGGGGGACGAGGCCCGUGUCAAAUGGAGGCCGCGGUACCCGGACGGAAGGCUGAGCAGGCCCGGGGCAGCAGGGAGUGCGGUCCGCAGCCUUGGACCACCGGCUUCCUGUUUCUGAUGCCUCACCUCUGCGUCACUUGGGAAGACUACUCUCUUCGGACCCAGGACCCAAACAUUGUUGGACACGUGAGCCCAGGACGUGAAGUCUGGCCUCAGACUUUCCCAGGACGUCGAGACAGCGGCGAGAGCAUGUGGGUGCCCGGGGGCCUUUUUCAGGCUGGCCUGGCAGCGUGUGCUCUGAAGCAGCCCCUGGAUUCUGCUGGGAGCCACGGGAGAGGCUGCGCAAGAGACCAGGGUUUCCUGAGGCUUCAGGCCUCUGUGGGGCCUGCCCUGGCCCGACUUGCCGCAGAAGUAAGCCCUUCAGACACCUUCCCAAGGGUGGGGACCGUAGCAGCUGCCGGUUGAGAGGUCACCAUGGUGAUGGGCGACAGCCGGCAGCCCCUGCCUGCUUCUCCCCCCACCUCCAGCCUGGCAGGCCUGCCCCAGCUCCCAGCCCCAGGGACCAGCAGGGCUGCAGGGCCUGCCUACCGGCUGCCCUGGGGCCGCUUCUCAGCCUCUGCUUUUCCUCUGACAGCCCGGAUUCAAAAGCAGAUUCUAAGUUGAGUCAAAUGCACGUAAAAGCAUCUCUUGAGAACUCCAAGGCUUACAAGUGUAAGCUAUUGUCCCUGUUAUAAAUAAAAUUGAACUCAUUACUCAGGAGAUAAUAAAAAUUACAAUGUCAGUAAGAAGCUUGCCUGGUCAGAGUGGCCCAAUUUUUCCUCCUNNGGGUCCUCGGGGCCUGGUGAUGCAUUCUUCUGUUUUCUGGGGUCCUGCUGAAAUCUGUGCUUUAAGAUGGUUUACUUCCAUUUUGUCUGAGGUGAGGAGUAACUGAUCAACUCCCUUCUCAAAAUUCUUCAGCUCUUUUAGGGCCAGUGAAAUCUCUUACUCAAGUUAAGCCACCCCAAUUAUUCUGACUCUUGCUUUUAACAACUGAACGUCUUUUUUUCUUUCAGGAUGACAUUGACAUACCUGCUCAAUAAAUUAGCACCAGCUGACUUAUUUGGCUUGGCCAGGUCCUCCAGCCCAUAGGAAAAAGAGAGGGGACCANNNNNNNNNNNNNNNNNNNNNNNNNNNNNNNNNNNNNNNNNNNNNNNNNNNNNNNNNNNNNNNNNNNNNNNNNNNNNNNNGCAUUAAUUGUAACCUUUUUGGGGGGUCCGUUUCUCAUGUCUUUAAUCAUCUCUGUUGCUCUUCUCUGAGUCCCUUAAAGUUCUCAAUAUUCUUUUGAAAGGAUGUUCAUAAAAAUUCCCCAUCAUUCUGAUCAGGGCUCAGGGAGCUACGUGAAAUCACAGAAGAAUCACUUUUGAAUCUCUGUAAGUCAUACAAGCACCCAUUAUUAUAGCCCAGCUGUCAGGCUGGCUUGCUUUCUCUGCAUCUAGUAACAUAACUUGUCACUUCGCAGUCAGAGCUUCUGGUCAGCUGGGGUCCCUGAAGUUUUGUCUUUGUCUUCUGUCUGCCAGACCCAGUGCCUGACUAGCAAGGACUUUGUGUUUGUACAGUGUAUCUCUCUGCCAUUUUAUUUAAAAUAUUUUCACUGAAGCAGAAUACCCAAACACAAAAGUGCUC
ensembl:lncRNA